UACGGAGGGGGCUAGCGUUGUUCGGAAUUACUGGGCGUAAAGCGCGCGUAGGCGGACCUGCAAGUCGGGGGUGAAAGCCCGAGGCUCAACCUCGGAGCUGCCUUCGAUACUGCGGGUCUCGAGUCCGGGAGAGGUGAGUGGAAUUCCUAGUGUAGAGGUGGAAUUCGUAGAUAUUAGGAAGAACACCAGUGGCGAAGGCGGCUCACUGGCCCGGUACUGACGCUGAGGCGCGAAAGCGUGGGGAGCAAACAGG
rnacentral:rRNA from 1 species